GGGGAUGUUUUGGUUUUGACAGCGUAAGACAUCGGUUUGUAAGCACGUCGAGCCUGGGAAGGCGCUCGUUAAUCCGGUCCCACGCCUAUAACUGGCAACAACAACUAUGCACUCGCUGCGUAAUAAGCCAAGCUUAUUAGCUUAAUCCGCGCCGCCAAGGGCUGCGCCGACGAGUAUCCCGCUGUUCCUCUACCUUCUUCGAACAGCACUCGGGGUAUCAUUUAAGAGGGUUGCUGACGUUUACUCCUCUACGGCGUCCUAAGAUUUAGAGGAUAAGGUCAAGGUGGUUUGUCUGUCAACAGCCUUGAUUCGAAAACCAGGUGCAGACUAAGCGUGUAGAAAGCAUUCGGAUGCUACGUUUGGACGGCGGUUCGAGUCCGCCCAUCUCCACAA
rnacentral:tmRNA from 1 species